UGUGUGUGUGUGUGUGUGUGUGUGUGUGUGUGUGCGCGCACACACACACACACACACACUUAAAACACAAG